rnacentral:rRNA from 1 species
UACGUAGGUGGCAAGCGUUGUCCGGAAUUAUUGGGCGUAAAGCGCGCGCAGGCGGUCCCUUAAGUCUGAUGUGAAAGCCCACGGCUCAACCGUGGAGGGUCAUUGGAAACUGGGGGACUUGAGUGCAGAAGAGGAAAGUGGAAUUCCAUGUGUAGCGGCGAAAUGCGUAGAGAUGUGGAGGAACACCAGUGGCGAAGGCGACUUUCUGGUCUGUAACUGACGCUGAGGCGCGAAAGCGUGGGGAGCAAACAGG